CCUACGGGAGGCAGCAGUGAGGAAUAUUGGUCAAUGGGCGCGAGCCUGAACCAGCCAAGUAGCGUGAAGGAUGACUGCCCUACGGGUUGUAAACUUCUUUUAUAAAGGAAUAAAGUGAUGCACGUGUGCCUUUUUGUAUGUACUUUAUGAAUAAGGAUCGGCUAACUCCGUGCCAGUAGCCGCGGUAAUACGGAGGGUCCGAGCGUUAUCCGGUUUUAUUGGGUUUAAAGGGAGCGUAGAUGGGGUGUUAAGUCAGUUGUGAAAGUUUGCGGCUCAACCGUAAAAUUGCAAUUGAUACUGGCAGACUUGAGUACAGUUGAGGUAGGCGGAAUUCGAGGUGGAGCGGUGAAAUGCUUAGAGAUCACGAAGAACUCCGAUUGCGAAGGCAGCUUACUAAACUGCCACUGACAUUGAUGCUCGAAAGUGUGGGUAUCAAACAGGAUUAGAUACCCCAGUAGUC
rnacentral:rRNA from 1 species